CAGUUUGUCAUCCAACUCCCCAAAGCAAACGCUGUCAAACAAGAUGCCUUCCGGAGGAGCUAUUAAAGACAUUGAUGCAGACUUUGAGUACGGUAAGCCAACCCCUCCUGAACCUGACCCUCCUACAGACCAGGCUCCUACAGACCAGGUCCAGACCUGAACCUGGGCCUCCUAUAGACCAGGUCCAGACCUGAACCUGACCCUCCUACAGACUAGGCUCCUAAAGACCAGGUCCAGACCUGAACCUGGGCCUCCUGUAGACCAAGUCUAGACUUGAACCUGACCCUCCUACAGACCAGGCCCAGACCUGAACCUGACCCUCCUACAGACCAGGCCCAGACCUGAACCUGGGCCUCCUGUAGACCAGGUCUAGACCUGAACCUGGGCCUCCUGUAGACCAGGUCUAGACCUGAACCUGGGCCUCCUGUAGACCAGGUCUAGACUUUGUGUGUGUUUCGUGCCCGUGCGUGUGUGCGUGCGUGUGUGCGUGUGUGUGUGUGUGUGUGUGUGUGUUGGGGUCUUCUGUUGUAGCGGCAGCACUGAGCUCAUGAAUGUGCCCCUCAGACUACGAGACCCUGCGGAUCGGCGGCCUGGUGCUUGCCGGGAUCAUAGUCGUGAUGUCCGUCUUCCUGCUGGCUGG